GUUCCCUUCCUUUUUAACUCCCUCUUAUUAUUCCUUGGUGAUUUCUAUUGUUUUGGAAUCAUUCUCAACCAACAUAACAAGUACUAUUAACCAUAUGGGAUUACCCAUCUAAAUUCCCAGGGAACAGAGAGUAGCUGUGAAUAUUUUUGUAUGCCUGCUGUAUUAUUGCCUUCGUGCUGCCUCAGAUUAUUAGAGGAAAUUUACCAAGAAUCCCCAAGCAAUUGAUACCUCAGAAAAUUACUCUGCUUCUAAUAGGAAGCCUAUUAACUCAGAGGGAAAAUAUAUUAAGUAUUACUCCAUAAGGUGCUGUAUGGACUUAAAAAUGUGUAUAUACUUUGAUUUAGUAUAGAAAAAAAAUCUUAUCUGUUUUUUGGUUAAUAUGUGUGGGUUUUAAAUUUUGGGAUGUGUGUUUCAUAACAUCAAUCAAGGCAUUUAGUCUUCCAGCCCAGUGCAAACAACAUACCCAGCAAGAAUUCCUAACUUUUUUGCAACCUAUGCAGUUGACCUUGUUAUAUAGUUAAGCAGGCAACAAGACAAGGGUUUUGCACAGUUUUUCAAUACUUUUGACUCAUGUUUGUUGAUUGCUCUAGCAUUUCAGUACCAAAAAGGAUUUCUAGAUUUAAAAUACAGUUUUCAGAUCACUGAACUUUUGAUCUUUUAUGCAAUUUACCUUGGUACUUUAUCACUCAAGCUUUUCAGCUAUAUCUUUUUAUCACCAUUUUACAGACAUAGUAGAGAAAAGAUUUUAAUGACAUUUAUUUACCAAGUGUUUUGAGUUCUUUAGAUGAAAUUAAGUACCCUCUUAAAUUUGUUGAGGCUUGUUUUGUGUCCUCAGAGUUCAUCUGUAUCGUCCCAUAUAGCAGGAUUUCAUUAAGGCUGAAUAACAGUCCUUUGUAUGUAUAUAUCACAUUUUCUUUAUCCACUCACCUGUUAAUGGGCAUUUAGAUUGUUUCCACAUCUUGACUAUUGUAAAUAAUGCUGCAUUGAACAUCAGAGUAAAGAUAUCUCUUGGGAUCCUUAUUUCAAUUAUUUUGGAUAAAUAUUCAGAGGUGGGAUUUUCUGGAUCAUAAGGUAGUUCUAUUUUUAAUAUUUUGAGGAAACUCCAUAUCAUUUUCUGUGGGAGCUAUACCAUUUUUACAUUCCCAUUAACAGUAUACAAGGGUUCCAAUUUCUCCACAUCCUCACCAACGUUUUAUUUUUUGAUGAUAGCCAUCCUAACAGAUAUGAGGUAAUAUCUCAUUGUGGUUUUGAUUUGAAUGUCGCUGAUGAUUAGCGAUGUUGAACUCCUUUUUGUAUACCUGUUGGCCACUUACGCUUCUUUGGAGAAAUGUCUAAUCAAGUCCUUUGCCUAUUUUUUAAAAAAAUCUUUUUUGGCUACUUCUCUGCAUAUGGAGUUCCAAAGCCAGGGAUCAGAUAUGAGCCGAAGUUGCAACUUACGGCACAGCUGGACCAAAACCAGAUCCUUUUCACCCACUGUGCAGGGCCAGGGAUCAAACCUACUUGAUAUUCAAUAAGUUCCUGGGACAAUGAUUUUUAUAUGCUUAUACUUUUGUUGGUGCCAUUUAAAGGAACAUUGGGAAAAUGUUUUUUGCCCACAAUGUUGGUGUUAGAGGCAAAGUUAAGUCCUGUGCUAGUUUUUGUAAAUUUUAAGUAACUGUAUUAUCUCUAUUAUAACUUGAUUCCCAUCAGCAUAUAAAGCCAAUAUACAAAACCUCCCUCUUGGGAUGGCCAUGGCAGUUUGCCACUCAGGUCUGCCUUUAAAAUAGACUUUGCCGAUCAGCUUCAAGGAGUUCAGUUAGCUGAGAGCCUCCAGCCAUGGCACUAUGAGAUCCACUGCAGCAUUUAAGCCAAGGAAAGCCUUCUCCUAGAUAACCCUAGCCAGUGACGGACCAUGGCAAGGCUCCCAAAUACUGGCCAUUCUGCUUCAUGAAGAACACCUCAAUGGGCAGUCUUGAUGACAGGGCUCCCUGACUGGGCUAGCUGAGACUUCCUCAGAGCUGCACAGUAGUCUCUUCUGACCUAAUUCUCCUUCCCUUCCUCCUCUCCUUUCACAGGUCUCAAACCUGUGUAGUUAUCUAUAGGUUGCCCUGCCUAUUCCUGCUCCCUCUUCAUCUCCUUCAAAGCCAUUAUCCCAAUAAAUCCUUGUGUUUGUCUCCCCAUCUUAUGGUCUAACCAGAUGACCUAACAAACACACCUCCCUUGAGUCCCAAAUCCCUGUUUAGCUGCAACCCCAUUUCUUUGUUCUGUUCUGCAAUAGAAUUGUACAAGAGCCAUCUAACACUGUGGUUUCUACUACCUACUUCCUGCUUACUCAUUAACCUCCAUUUAUGUCUUCUUUUUACAAUGUUCCACUUGAAAAGUUUUCUCUGUUGGAUCAAUCUCUCUCCAUGUUCCAAGUCCAAUGGAUACUUUCUUGUCAUCUUACUUUGUCUCUCAUCUCCCUGAUUUGAUAUUUUUAAGGGAAUGGAAAAACUACUUUUCACUUGCAAAUAAGAGAGCCAUAUCAGGUGCUAGUUAAGAGUAUGGCUUUUGGAAUUAUAUAGUAUUGACUCUUAAAUCUGCUAUGUAACCUUAGGCAAAAACAUUUCUCGCUGUGCCUUGGUUUCCGUGCCUAGAAAAUGGGGUAAUAAUAGCAUCUACCUCUUGAAAUUGUGAAGAGUAAGCUAGUUCAAGGCAAUUCAAACAGUGGCACAGGAGUUGCUAGCAAUUGUUGAUAUUAAUUAAUGACAUGUUCUUUUGGUUUUUCUCCUACUUCUGAGCCCUCUGUCUCCAUUUUUCUUCCCUAGUUUUUUUCUUGUAAAUGAAGAAGGAACUCUAAAUGUUGGAGUGCUGCAGAACUUGAUCAGGUGCCUACUUUUCUAGCUAUACUUUCUCCUAGCCCAGUGAAUUUACAUACCUCCUAGAUGCCAGCAGCUCCUAAGUAUAUGUCUUUAUCCUUGACCCAUAUCCAACAACAUUUGACAUUUCUACUUGUAUAGUAUAAACAUGUCAAGUUUAACAUAUCAGAAACAGAACUCCUGAUAACUCCAUCUUGUCAAAACCUGAGCUAAGCUUCCCCACUCCAGCAACUUCUCAUUCGCUCAAGCUUAAAAAACCGUUUUUCCUUCUACUACCAUCACUUUGGUCUAAAUCACCAUUUCCUCUAGCCUGAAUUAUGGAAAUAGCCACCAGCCUGGGCUCCUAGCUUUCACUUGUGUUCCCCUCUGCACAGAGUUGCCAAGUUUGUCAUUUUAAUGUGUAGCAAAAUUAUGUCACUCCCUCCUUAAAAUCCUUCUUUGGCUUCUGAUUGAAUUCAGAAUAAAAUCUAAACAUUUUCCUUUGGAUUACAUAAUACCACGUGAUCUGGUCCCUGCCUAUUUCACACUCAUCUAUCAUCUCCUUCCAGAUUUGUUAUAUCCCAAUGCUCCUGGUCUACUCGCUGCUUUUUAAGGUGCUAAACUCUUAUCAGCCUUGGGAGCCUUGGGUUUGCUCUCUCUUCUCUAUGCAUUGCUCUUCUUUUUUUUUUUUUUACCUGACCAGUUACUUCAAAUUUCAGGUUUCAGUUCAGAUGGCACUACAUUUGGGAUGCUUCCCACUAUCUAAAAGAAUGUAUAACUGCCUUUGUUGACUAUUCUUUGGCCUCCUCUAGGACUCUUGAAAAUCCAAAAUUGUGUUGGUUGUUUAUUAUCUGUCAUUCUACAUUAGAAUUUAAUCUGCCUCCAUGAGAGACCUUACCUCUUAUUCACCUCACCUCAAUAUACCCACUGCCUAGUGAGUGUAGUGCCUGGUACACAGCAGGCUCUUAAUAAAUUUGGGCUUAAUUAAUAAAUGACUGAAUCUGACAGUGAACAUUUUAUCCAAAACAAAAACAAAAACCUAACUGAUUAACAAUUUAAAAGCAUCACUCUGGGCAAUAGAAUGUAGGUACUCACAGCUCUUACUAUCUACACUAGAAAUUGUGGAGGUCAAGCAGAUGAAAAAAGUUAUAAUAUUAGAAAUGUUUAAAAUGGAAACUAAUAUGUAAAAGAUUAGAAUGCUAACAUUUUUGUCCCAGGUUUUUCCAUAAAGCUUAAGUUAUGUUAAAGUUUAGGUAGAUAUUGGAGAAGUUAGGGAAGUUAAACAUGUCUUAAACAUCUACAAAUAUGCUAAGAACUUAGCUAGAUUCUUUACACAAAUAAAAAUGUAUAAAGAAUGUAUAUAUAUUUAUCAGAGACAUUUACUUUCUAUUUUUAUAUUGAUUAAAAAUAAGCUAUAAUAAAGUAUAAAGUUUUUGCAAAAUAAUACUUUAUUUCCUUUUAUGUUUUUAAAAUAAUACUUGAUACAUUUCCUAUGUAAUAUGAAAAUUGGCACCUUAAAAUAAGAGCUUAAGAACCUAUAAAGCCAUUUUCUAUUGUGAGAGGGGAUAAUGCAUUUUACAUUUUAAUCAGUCAGAAAUAAAACUGUCAUAUUUCUUUAUAAGUAGAAUACUUUUCUGAGCAUUUUCAAGGAUUUAUAUAAGGUAAAGGGAGGGAUUUAAAAGAUAAAAAUGACCGUCAUCAUCUAAACACUUGAUCUAUAGUUAUGAUUUGCUAGAUUGCUAGUAAGACUUCAGUGAAGUAGCAGACUGUCCAUUGCACAGAUUUUAAAAGCAUAGAGGCUUAGAAAAGUUGGGUAACUUACCUAAAUGAACUCUAAUGAAAUGAUCUCAGUCAAGAUUUAAAUCCAGGUCACUCUGAUUUCAAAAUUUUUAAUCACUGUUUUGGGCUGAGUGUCCCAUACUGAAGCCUCAGUCUUCAAUGUGAUGGUAUUUGGAGGUGGGGCCUUUGGUAGGUAGUUGGGCUUAAAUUUGGUCAUAGGUGUGGGACCCUCCUGAUGAGAUUAGUGCCCUUUUAAGAAAAGACAAGAGCUCUCUCUCUCAGUCCCUCUGUCUUUCCAGGAAGAUGCUCAGAGGAAAGGCCAUGUGAGCACACAGUCAAAAGCUGGCUCUUACCAGGAACUAAUUCUGUGCGCGUACCUUGAUCUUGGACUACCCAGCCUCCAGAACUGUGAGAAAUAAAUGUCUCUUAUUAAAAUCACUUAGUCUUUGUUAUCAUGUUACAGUAGCCAAGCAGAGUAAAGCCACUGCAUUGCUAAACAAUCAUUAUAUUGGCUCUAUGGCAUGAAAAGAAAAGUCAUCUUAAUGAGAAAAAGCCUAAUUCUUUACUGCUCCAGCUAUAACAGUGAAAUCCACAAGGGAUAUUUCUCUUGGUUCAAUAAUAUUUUAUUAGAAUUUAAGUUAUAAAUGAAUAUGAUGAGCUUAGUCAUCAGAGAGACCCAGAUCUCUCUGCAGAGCUGUGGUUGAAGUUCAGUAGGGAUCCUUCAGUGUAUUAGACUACAUAGCAAACUCUCUGGGGUGCCUUGGUUUCAUAAGCACUAAAAAUCUGCAUGGGUAUUGAAGGGAAGGCUUGAAAGAACCUCUGAGGUGACCCAGAGUCUGAACUUCCCUUGCCUGUGCUCCCUACUAGGGAUCUUGGUUGAUCAAGCACAGAUUUUCACUCAUAGCCAGCAGCAACUGCACCAGUGAUACUUUAAGCUUCCCCAGGGAUGAAAUGCCUCGUCACUCAGCAACCACUUUGGCAGACUAAAGGGUGACAUUGAUUGGCUCUGAACAAGCGAGUAAGAGGAAGAGUGUCCAAAUCUCCAGAGG
rnacentral:lncRNA from 1 species